rnacentral:rRNA from 1 species
GACGAACGCUGGCGGCGUGCUUAACACAUGCCAGUCGAACGGAGAGGCCUUUUCGGAGGUACUCGAGUGGCGAACGGGUGAGUAACACGUGGGUGAUCUGCCCUGCACUCUGGGAUAAGCCUGGGAAACUGGGUCUAAUACCGGAUAGGACCGCACUUUAGUGUGUGUGGUGGAAAGUUUUUUCGGUGUAGGAUGAGCCCGCGGCCUAUCAGCUUGUUGGUGGGGUAAUGGCCUACCAAGGCGGCGACGGGUAGCCGGACUGAGAGGUUGGUCGGCCACAUUGGGACUGAGAUACGGCCCAGACUCCUACGGGAGGCAGCAGUGGGGAAUAUUGCACAAUGGGCGCAAGCCUGAUGCAGCGACGCCGCGUGGGGGAUGACGGCCUUCGGGUUGUAAACUCCUUUCGCCAGGGACGGAGCGUUUUGUGACGGUACCUGGAGAAGAAGCACCGGCUAACUACGUG